AGAGUUUGAUCAUGGCUCAGAUUGAACGCUGGCGGCAUGCCUUACACAUGCAAGUCGAACGGUAACGGGCCUUCGGGUGCCGACGAGUGGCGAACGGGUGAGUAAUGCAUCGGAACGUACCUUUCAGUGGGGGAUAACGUAGCGAAAGUUACGCUAAUACCGCAUAUUCUGUGAGCAGGAAAGCAGGGGAUCGCAAGACCUUGCGCUGAUUGAGCGGCCGAUGUCAGAUUAGCUAGUUGGUGAGGUAAAGGCUCACCAAGGCGACGAUCUGUAGCGGGGUCUGAGAGGAUGAUCCGCCACACUGGAACUGAGACACGGUCCAGACUCCUACGGGAGGCAGCAGUGGGGAAUUUUGGACAAUAGGGGCAACCCUGAUCCAGCCAUGCCGCGUGAGUGAAGAAGGCCUUCGGGUUGUAAAGCUCUUUCGGCCGGGAAGAAAUCGCAUGGGUUAAUACCCUGUGCGGAUGACGGUACCGGCAUAAGAAGCACCGGCUAACUACGUG
rnacentral:rRNA from 1 species